GAAUUGAAGAAAAUGGUUGAUUUUUUAUCGUAUAAAAAUUCGUUGAACCAAAGUACGGUUCCAAAGUGGCGUUGGACUAUAUCCGACCCUUAACCGGUGCACAACGUGACCCAAGGGCAAAGAAUUUAUUGAAGCGUCUGCAUCUGAAACUCGUUCACCUGCCAGCUGGUUCGAGGUGAUGGAAUUUUGGCUGGAACGGGCCGGUACUCUCAUGCUGCUCAUAAAUUCUCGAGAAGAUACUUUGUGGGUGAUCUCUGGAAUGCGGAGCAUCUGCGACGAUAACAGUCUUUCAAUUUUUGAUAACUUAAUAUCAUUCUGAAUUGCAAAUUUAUCAUUAAUUAUAUAUUGCCGAUGCGGUUAUUGUAUUUUUGGCGAUUUAUGCAUAUG
rnacentral:misc_RNA from 1 species